UUGGUCCGUCGUAAGCACCGCCUCCCAGCGUGACCUAACCACGGCGCAAGUGCCGGAAGGCCCUGGAAGGGCGUGCGCGGCCACGUGAUUGGACGGAUGCGUGUAGCCCCGCCUUUUUCUCUGCGUUUUGCGUGUAAGGGUUGUAUGGGCUGGUGAUCCGAUGUGUGACUUGGGUCCGGCGUUUCAGCGCUGGUCAAAAAGUACCUCUUCAGUAGGACGAUCAUAAGAAUGGAAGGACAUGUUUUCAGGAAGAAAGAGAGAGAGGUACUGUGUGCCGUGAAUCCCAAAGAAAAUAAGCUUGGGGAGGGGAGCCGGCUGGAAUGACCCGUUUCAGUCGCCUCUCGCGGCGGGCGUUGUUGCUCGGUCUUGGUCGUCUGGCACGGCUGUUAGCACGCAAAGAAGAGGGAGAGGCCUUGUUUAAACCUGUUGCCCCUCCAGCUCCUACACGCACAGCUGGGCGGGGAGGAUGUGUGUGUAUAGUGGACCCACAUGAAUGCCUUGAUUGCACUGGAAUAAAGGAUUCUGGUGAUCUCCUGAGUACAAUAAUUGUGAACAGAAAGGCAUUGGUCAUGAUCUCAGGGUCCUGGGAUCCAGCCCGGCAUUGGCAUCAUCAGACCCUCUGCUCAGCAGGGAGCCUGCUUCCUCCCUUCUCUCUCUACCUGCCUCUCUGCCUACUUGUCAUCUCUCUCUCUCUGUGUCAAAUAAAGAAAUAAAAUCUUUAAAAAAAAAAAAAGUAAGAAAGAAAAUGAGGUCCCCCUUUUAAUGUGCACUAUUUUCGUGAGUGCCUGUGUGUCAGUUACAAUUUGGACAGGAGGCAGGUGGUACACUCUUA